rnacentral:rRNA from 1 species
UACGGAGGGUGCGAGCGUUGUCCGGAAUCACUGGGCGUAAAGGGCGCGUAGGCGGCGUGCCAAGCGUGUGGUGAAAGUCCAGGGCUCAACCCUGGGAUGCCGGUGGAUACUGUCGGGCUAGAGUACGGAAGAGGCGAGUGGAAUUCCCGGUGUAGCGGUGAAAUGCGCAGAUAUCGGGAGGAACACCAAUUGCGAAGGCAGCUCGCUGGGACGUCACUGACGCUGAGACGCGAAAGCGUGGGGAGCAAACAGG